UGGCAUUGGGAGGAGUUCAAUUUAAAUCCUUGUACAAGGACCAAGGGAGGGCAAGUCUGGUGCCAGCAGCCGCGGUAAUUCCAGCUCCAAUAGCGUAUAUUAAAGUUGCUGCGGUUAAAAAGCUCGUAGUUGGAUCAGUUUCCGGAUUAACGUCGGCUUUCGGCGAUGACCGUCGGUCUGACCAGUUAUUUGCUCGCUCGGGGUGCUCUUCACCGAGUGUCCCGCGUGGCCAGCAUGUUACUUGAAAA
rnacentral:rRNA from 1 species